rnacentral:rRNA from 1 species
AUGGCAAGCAGCAACAGCAUCCCAGCCAGCACCUUGGGCGAGAUCAGAGCUGCCCAGCGUGCGGACGGGUUAGCGGCGGUGCUGGCCAUUGGCACGGCGAACCCGCCCCACUGCGUGCCGCAGGGCGACUACCCCGACUACUACUUCCGCGUCACCCAGAGCGACCACCUCACCCACCUCAAGCCCACCUUCGCCAAACUAUGCCGGAUCCCAGGCGUCGAGAGGCGUUUCUUCUACCACACCGAGGAGCUGCUCUCCGCCCAGCCGGACAUGUCCCUGGAGGCCCGGCUCGAGAUCGUGGCCGCUGCCGCCCCGGAGCUCGCCGCGUCGGCCGCCGCCAAGGCCAUUGCCGAGUGGGGUCGUACCGCGGCCGACAUCACCCACCUCGUCGUCACCACCAACGCGGGAGCGCACGCGCCGGGCACUGACGUCCGCCUCGUCUCCCUCCUUGGUCUCCGCCAUGAUGUCUGCCGCACGGCGCUCCAGCUCAACGGCUGUGCCGCUGGGUCCGCUGCGCUGCGCCUCGCCAAGGACUUCGCCGAGAAUAACCGUGGCGCCCGCGUCCUCGUGGUCUGCGUCGAGCUCACCGUCGCUGUUUUUCGCGGGCCCGUUGAGUCGGACACCUUCGACACCCUCAUUUCCCAGGCACUGUUCGGCGACGGAGCGGGCGCGGCCAUUGUGGCGGCUGACCCCGACGCCCGGGAGCGCCCCCUGUUCAACAUGGUUGCGGCCUCGCAGGCCGUGAUACCGGACACCGAGCACGUACCCAGGAUGCAUCUCGGGAGUGGAGGCAUCGACUGGAACAUUUCGAACGGACUACCAAGGCUGGCGGCAGGCAUCAUUGAGCGUUGCUUGCUGGAUGCACUGGGCGACCAGCUUACCACCGUCGUCGGAGGUGUCGUCGACUGGAAUGAUCUCUUCUGGGCGGUGCACCCGGGCAGCGGCGGGAUGCUGGAGCGCAUCGGCAAGGCACUCCGGCUGGCCCCGGAGAAGCUGGCGGCUAGCAGAACUGUGGUCAGAGAGUACGGGAACAUGUUGGGCGCCACGGUGAUCUUCGUGCUCGAUGAGGUCAGGCGCCGAAGAAUAAAUCCUGAAGGUGCUGGAGCUGGAGCUGGCCUUAAUGAAGAGUGGGGGGUGAUGAUUGGAUUCGGACCAGGGUUCACUGUCGAGGCGAUGCUGCUGCACGCUGCCACCUAA